UGUAACAAGCUAUCUCACGUUCAUGUAAUAUUCCUUUUAUUUAUCUAGAAAGACUCCUUAGAACGUCCAAAUCAAUAUCGAGUUUCCUUAUUGAAAGCUUGAAGUUUCUCCUACGUUCCUCUUCCUUCUAUUCCUUCCUCUUGCCUCUCUAGCUCUCUCUCUCUAAAAAUUGUUUUGGUGAAUGGGAAAAUGAAGAUGAAGUGAUGAAAGAGUGGUGGAAAGGGCCCUAUUUAUAGAAAAAGGGAGUCAUUGGAUUUAUGCCAAGUGGU
rnacentral:lncRNA from 1 species